rnacentral:rRNA from 1 species
AGAGUUUGAUCCUGGCUCAGAUUGAACGCUGGCGGCAUGCCUUACACAUGCAAGUCGAACGGUAGAGGGGCAACCCUUGAGAGUGGCGAACGGGUGAGUAAUGCAUCGGAACGUGCCCAGUCGUGGGGGAUAACGCAGCGAAAGCUGCGCUAAUACCGCAUACGAUCUAUGGAUGAAAGCGGGGGAUCGCAAGACCUCGCGCGAUUGGAGCGGCCGAUAUCAGAUUAGGUAGUUGGUGGGGUAAAAGCCCACCAAGCCGACGAUCUGUAGCUGGUCUGAGAGGACGACCAGCCACACUGGGACUGAGACACGGCCCAGACUCCUACGGGAGGCAGCAGUGGGGAAUUUUGGACAAUGGGCGCAAGCCUGAUCCAGCAAUGCCGCGUGCAGGACGAAGGCCUUCGGGUUGUAAACUGCUUUUGUACGGAGCGAAACGGUCUGGGUUAAUACCCUGGGCUAAUGACGGUACCGUAAGAAUAAGCACCGGCUAACUACGUGCCAGCCGCCGCGGUAAUAC